rnacentral:rRNA from 1 species
CACGUAGGAGGCAAGCGUUAUCCGGAUUUACUGGGCGUAAAGCGCGUGCAGGCGGUUCGAUAAGUUGGAUGUAAAAGCUCCUGGCUUAACUGGGAGAGGUCGUUCAAUACUAUCGGGCUUGAGAGUGGUAGAGGGAGGUGGAAUUCCGAGUGUAGUGGUGAAAUGCGUAGAUAUUCGGAGGAACACCAGUGGCGAAGGCGGCCUCCUGGACCAUUUCUGACGCUCAGACGCGAAAGCUAGGGUAGCAAACGGG